UGGAAAUCCAGCACUUACCUAGAUAAGAUGGCGAGGUACCAAGAGACGAUCCAGGAGCUUAUCUUAUAGCAGUUUUAUAAGAUAAGUUCACUAUCAAAUUUAAUAGUAUUCUGACAUGUGAAUAUGUGAUGUUGGAAUCCAGAUGGUGGUGAAGAAAAUAAACUUCUCAUUAAUAACUUUCGUUGGACUCGAUAUGAAGGAAUAUCAAAUCAGUAGUGGUACUCUACGGUCCAAGUGGCGCAUUGACCUCUUCAAAGGUAGUUCUAGGCUAGAGAAGAUGCAACUGAUUUUGAGUGAAUCCCAAGGUGCAACGAAUGUUUAACUACGGCUUCUGUCUUGAAGACUUUGAUGAUUGUAGUAGGCUUCUUUAACAUGCACUUUUAUUUAACUACUUUGUUGUCAUGUGUUGGCACUACUGUGUUGUUGUUUUUAUGAUCAAAAGCCAUCUGUUUUAACAUUCGAAAGUUCUGCUGGAUUAAAAACAACUCUGUUGGGAAGAUUUCUAUAUACUUUUCUAGUGUUUCAAAAAUAUGUUUAUCUCA